UCAAAGGCUCUUUUCAGAGCCAUCAUUUUUCCUGGCAGGUGGAG
rfam:Papio anubis isolate 1X1155 chromosome 3, whole genome shotgun sequence.